GAGUUUGAUCCUGGCUCAGGACGAACGCUGGCGGCGCGCCUAACACAUGCAAGUCGAACGGGGAUCAUGUAGAAGCUUGCUUAGACAUGAACUUAGUGGCGGACGGGUGAGUAACGCGUGAGGACUUGUCAGUUACAGGGGGACAACGGAUGGAAACGUCAGCUAAUACCCCAUAAGCCGAGAGGUAAAAGGAGCGAUCCGGUAACAGAGAGACUCGCGUUCCAUCAGCUAGUUGGAGGGGUAAAGGCCCUCCAAGGCGAAGACGGAUAGCCGGACUGAGAGGUUGGCCGGCCACAUUGGAACUGAGAAACGGUCCAGACUCCUACGGGAGGCAGCAGUGGGGAAUAUUGGGCAAUGGGGGCAACCCUGACCCAGCGACGCCGCGUGGGUGAAGAAAUCCUUCGGGAUGUAAAGCCCUGUUUUGCGGGAAGAAGAAAGUGACGGUACCGCAAGAGAAAGCCACGGCAAACUACGUGCCAGCAGCCGCGGUAAUACGUAGGUGGCGAGCGUUGUCCGGAAUUACUGGGCGUGAAGCGCACGCAGGCUGAUAAUCAAGUCGACUGUAAAAGGCAGAGGCUCAACCUUUG
rnacentral:rRNA from 1 species